rnacentral:rRNA from 1 species
UACGUAGGGUGCAAGCGUUGUCCGGAAUUAUUGGGCGUAAAGAGCGUGUAGGCGGCCGUACAGGUCAGCUGUGAAAACUCGAGGCUCAACCUCGAGACGUCGGUUGAAACCGUACGGCUAGAGUCCGGAAGAGGAGAGUGGAAUUCCCGGUGUAGCGGUGAAAUGCGCAGAUAUCGGGAAGAACACCCGUGGCGAAGGCGAGUCCCUGGACAACACCUGACACUGAGGCACGAAAGCUAGGGGAGCAAACAGG